AUUAGUUCAGAUCAGGAUUUGUAUAGUUAGAUGCUUGUUUUCAGUAAAUUUAAAUGGUUUAUUUCUAGGCCCGACUGAAGCCAAUGAUUGAAUGUGGAAAAGGAAGCUCACGUGACUCAGUGGAUGGCAAUACCAGGAGUAAGGAACCACAUUUGUCUCCUAAGACUCUGUCCACAUCUGUGCUGAAGACUGAAAUACCCUUGAAAGAGUUAAACCCGAACCAACAGCUCAGACUUGGACCUGGAGAAGAACCAGGAGCAGAACCUGAACCAGGAUCUCGUCUAAAAGCUUCUAAAUCUCACAGCAUAUUCGGGAAAAGAGGAAGUUACAGUCUAGAAACUGAAGAAAAAGAAGAAAAUGGCGUAACUACUCUUUCCUUCCAACACACACAAACAGACUCAUUCUCAUAAACAUUAAUUCAGUGAUCCCUCAUGUUCAAUCCUAUUUACCGAGUGAUUGUAUUUUAUGGGGUCCAGGAGUAAUAUGGUAUCUAAAUUAUGUUUAAUGUAUUUUGCUAUUUUAAAGUGGAUUUAAAUUUGAUAUGAGGGGUGAAAAUACAGAAAGCCCCUGGUGGGUGGUUGGCUCUAUUUCAACAUUGACUGACUGGGGGUGGUGGGGUUGACUGUUGAGUGUGACCACACUAUAACCAUAUAAUGCCAAAAAAUAUUUUUUUUUUAUUUAAGUAGAUAUGGCAUCCCUAUCAGUUGAAUUUCAUUUCUUUAUUUUUGAAACACUGUAAAAUGUAAAUAGUAAUUUAAGUUAUUUAAAAAAAAUGUCAAAAUAAU